rnacentral:rRNA from 1 species
GGAUUAGAUACCCUGGUAGUCCACGCUGUAAACGAUGAUUACUAGGUGUUCGGCAGAAUGAUGCUGAGUGCCCAAGCGAAAGCGAUAAGUAAUCCACCUGGGGAGUACGUUCGCAAGAAUGAAACUCAAAGGAAUUGACGGGGGCCCGCACAAGCGGUGGAGCAUGUGGUUUAAUUCGAUGAUACGCGAGGAACCUUACCUGGGCUAGAAUGCCUCUGACAACCCCCGAAAGGGGGCCUUCCUUCGGGACAGAGUGCAAGGUGCUGCAUGGUUGUCGUCAGCUCGUGCCG